CCCACACAUCGUGUGAAAAGUUGAUGAGUUUGAUAGGGGGAGAAUCAUCGACCCGGAGAUAGCUGUCUCUCGAAUAGCUUUAGGGCUAGCUCAUACGAGUCUGCGAAGUAGAGCACUGAAUUUCCUAGGGGCGUCAAAGCUUACCGAAGAAUAUCAAACUCCGAAUGCCGCGUAGAUGAUGUAUGGGAGUCAGACUGCACGAGAUAAGUUGGGCAGUCGAAAGGGAAAGAGCCCAGACCUGCGGCUAAGGCCCCAAAAUGUGUGUUAAGUGGAAAAGGAUGUGGGAUUUCGAAGACAACUAGGAUGUUGGCUCAGAAGCAGCCAUGCAUUCAAAGAGUGCGUAAUAGCUCACUAGUCGAGAGGUCCCGCGCCGAAAAUGUCCGGGGCUGAAACACACUGCCGAAGCCCGGGGAUGUACCAAGUACAUCGGUAGAGGAGCAUUGGAUGCGGGAGGAAGCGGCACCGGAAGGAGCCGUGGACCGCAUCGAAGAGAGAAUGCCGGAAUGAGUAGCGAGAGGAAGGUGGGAAUCCUUCCGGCCGAAUAUCCAAGGUUUCCAGAGUAAAGCUGAUCUGCUCUGGGUAAGUCGGGGCCUAAGGCGAGGGCGGGAGCCGUAGCCGAUGGACAACAGGUUGAGAUUCCUGUACCGCGAUAUGACAGAACUGUGGGGACACGCGUGGAAAGCAUAAGCCGGGAAUGGAAAGACCGGCGCAAGCGGGGCAGGGGCUGCAUAGGCAAAUCCGUGCAGCGUAACCCGAAGCCGUGACGCGUACCGAACUGCAAGUAGGGAAGUAUGCGAGCCAUGCGUCAAGAAAAGCCGCUAUCGCUCAUAUCGCGCCCGUACCGCAAACCGACACAGGUAGAUGAGGAGAGAAUCCUAAGGCCGACGGGAGAAGCAUUGUCAAGGAACUCGGCAAAAUGACUCCGUAACUUCGGGAGAAGGAGUGCCAUAGAGAUAUGGCCGCAGAGAAUUGGCCCAAGCAACUGUUUAGCAAAAACACAGGUCUAUGCGAAGCCGCAAGGCGAGGUAUAUGGGCUGACGCCUGCCCGGUGCUGGAAGGUUAAGGGGAGAGGUUAGAGCGAUCGAAGCCUUGAACUUAAGCCCCAGUAAACGGCGGCCGUAACUAUAACGGUCCUAAGGUAGCGAAAUUCCUUGUCGGGUAAGUUCCGACCCGCACGAAAGGCGUAAUGAUUUGGGCACUGUCUCGACAAUGCACCCGGUGAAAUUGAAGUACCAGUGAAGAUGCUGGUUACCCGCGCCAGGACGGAAAGACCCCAUGGAGCUUUACUCCAGCUUGAUACUGGGAUCCGGUAUUGCAUGUACAGGAUAGGUGGGAGGCUAGGAAGCGGGGACGCCAGUCGCCGCGGAGCCGCUGUUGGGAUACCACCCUUGCAGUGCUGGGUUUCUAACCAGCAGCCGUGAACCGGCUGGGGGACAAUGUCAGGCGGGGAGUUUGACUGGGGCGGUCGCCUCCGAAAGGGUAUCGGAGGCGCUCAAAGGUCCUCUCAGAAUGGUCGGAAACCAUUCGCAGAGCGCAAAGGCAGAAGAGGGCUUGACUGCGACACCGACGGGUGGAGCAGGUACGAAAGUAGGACUUAGUGAUCCGGUGGUAUAAAGUGGGAUUGCCAUCGCUCAACGGAUAAAAGCUACCCUGGGGAUAACAGGCUUAUCACUCCCAAGAGUUCACAUCGACGGAGUGGUUUGGCACCUCGAUGUCGGCUCAUCGCAUCCUGGGGCUGAAGUAGGUCCCAAGGGUUGGGCUGUUCGCCCAUUAAAGCGGUACGCGAGCUGGGUUCAGAACGUCGUGAGACAGUUCGGUCCCUAUCCGGCGCGGGCGUAGGAUAUUUGAGAGGAGCUGUCCUUAGUACGAGAGGACCGGGAUGGACUGGCCGCUGGUGGAUCUGUUGCGCCUCCAGGCGCAUGGCAGAGUAGCCAAGCCGGGACGGGAUAAACGCUGAAGGCAUCUAAGCGUGAAGCCCCCCUCGAGAUGAGAUAUCCCUGGCGUUAAGCCAGUAAGACCCCUUGAAGACGACGAGGUAGAUAGGAUAGAGGUGGAAGUGCAGCAAUGCAUGGAGCUGACUAUUACUAAUCGGUCGAGGGCAUGACCAG
rnacentral:rRNA from 1 species